ensembl:lncRNA
ACACGACCCAAACACGACCCAAACACGACCCAAACACGAGGCAAACACGACCCAAACACGACCCAAACACGACCCAAACACGAGGCAAACACGACGCAAACACGACCCAAACACGAGGCAAACACGACCCAAACACGACCCAAACACGACCCAAACACGAGGCAAACACGACCCAAACACGACCCAAACACGGGGGAAACGGGGGAAACGGUAUCAGAAGGAGGCUAAAGAGAAGUGCUGACUCUUAUUGACUUCUCCGUGCUUCUACACCUGCAUUGCUUGCUGUUUGG